rnacentral:sRNA from 1 species
AGAGCCGUAUAUGAUGAGUAUGAACUGGAAGAAGAAAGAAGACUCUGUUAUGUAGGGAUUACUAGGGCAAAAGAAAAAUUAUAUCUUACUUACACCGGGGAA